AGAGACUUAGGUUAAACACAUAGACCAAGGGCCUUCAAAGCCCUCAGCGGGAGUGAAAAUCUCCCAGCCUCUG
rnacentral:tRNA from 1 species